AUGUUGCGUUCCUGCGGGCUAGGUGACACUGACAUUGCCAAGCUCAGCAUCGCUCAUCCAUGGCUGCUCACCUCCAACAUAGAGCGUGUCCAGGCAAUGGUGGCACAUGCCCAAGAUAUUGGUGUGCCUCGUGGCUGUAGGAUGUUCAGGCACGCGUUGAAGGCUAUUAAAUUCCUCAGCAAGGAGAAAAUCGCCGCCAAAGUGGAGCACCUGAAGAAGACAUUUAUGUGGUCAGAUGCUGAGGUCGGCGUUGUUGUCUCCAAGUUUCCAUCUGUGCUGAUGAGGUCUAACCAGAUGCUGCAGAGCAAGUCAGAGUUCCUCAUCUCCAAGGCAGGGUUGGAACCGACAUACAUUGCUCAUCGGCCGGCGAUGCUUAGUUAUAGCCUGGAGGGCCGGAUCAAACCCCGGCACUACGUUGUAAAGUAUCUCAAGGAAAAUGGAUUUCUAGAUCAUGGCCGGGACUACUAUUAUACACUCUGUAUCAGCGAGAAGGUAUUCAUGGAGAGGUUCAUAUGUCCUCACAAGGAAGCUGCACCGCACCUUGCUGAAGACUAUGCCAGUGCUUGCAGAGGGGAAGUGCCUUCCAGUUUCAGAUUUACAUAA
rnacentral:rRNA from 1 species